rnacentral:rRNA from 1 species
AACGAACGCUGGCGGCAGGCCUAACACAUGCAAGUCGAGCGAGGACUUCGGUCCUAGCGGCGGACGGGUGAGUAACGCGUGGGAGCGUGCCCUUUGCUACGGAAUAGCCCCGGGAAACUGGGAGUAAUACCGUAUGUGCCCUUCGGGGGAAAGAUUUAUCGGCAAAGGAUCGGCCCGCGUUGGAUUAGGUAGUUGGUGGGGUAAUGGCCUACCAAGCCGACGAUCCAUAGCUGGUUUGAGAGGAUGAUCAGCCACACUGGGACUGAGACACGGCCCAGACUCCUACGGGAGGCAGCAGUGGGGAAUCUUAGACAAUGGGGGAAACCCUGAUCUAGCCAUGCCGCGUGGUCGAUGAAGGCCUUAGGGUUGUAAAGAUCUUUCAGUGGGGAAGAUAAUGACUGUACCCACAGAAGAAGCCCCGGCUAACUCCGUGCCAGCAGCCGCAGUAAUAC